AUUGAACGCUGGCGGCAUGCCUUACACAUGCAAGUCGAACGGCAGCACGGGAGCAAUCCUGGUGGCGAGUGGCGAACGGGUGAGUAAUAUAUCGGAACGUGCCCAGUCGUGGGGGAUAACGUAGCGAAAGCUACGCUAAUACCGCAUACGAUCUAUGGAUGAAAGCGGGGGAUCGCAAGACCUCGCGCGAUUGGAGCGGCCGAUAUCAGAUUAGGUAGUUGGUGAGGUAAAGGCGCACCAAGCCGACGAUCUGUAGCUGGUCUGAGAGGACGGCGAGCCACACUGGGACUGAGACACGGCUCAGACUCCUACGGGAGGCAGCAGUGGGGAAUUUUGGACAAUGGGCGCAAGCCUGAUCCAGCAAUGCCGCGUGCAGGAUGAAGGCCUUCGGGUUGUAAACUGCUUUUGUACGGAACGAAACGGCGAGCUCUAAUACAGUUUGCUAAUGACGGUACCGUAAGAAUAAGCACCGGCUAACUACGUGCCAGCCGCCGCCGUAA
rnacentral:rRNA from 1 species